UACGUAGGGGGCUAGCGUUGUCCGGAUUUAUUGGGCGUAAAGAGCGCGUAGGCGGCUAGGUAAGUCCGACGUGAAAUCUGGAGGCUCAACCUCCAGCGGUCGUUGGAAACUACUUGGCUAGAGUCCGGAAGAGGAGAGUGGAAUUCCUGGUGCAGCGGUGAAAUGCGCAGAUAUCAGGAAGAACACCGAUGGCGAAAGCAGCUCUCUGGGACGGUACUGACGCUGAGGCGCGAAAGCGUGGGGAGCGAACAGG
rnacentral:rRNA from 1 species